UCCUGGUAAUGAUGGACUCAGCAUCGAG
rnacentral:sRNA from 1 species